rfam:Myotis brandtii contig298508, whole genome shotgun sequence.
CUCUAAUUAAAGAAAUGGGUUUCCUGAGAAGAGGCAUCCUCCUCGAACUGAAAG